rnacentral:rRNA from 1 species
CUAUGCGCCUUGCCAGCCGCUCAGUCAGAGUUUGAUCCUGGCUCAGGACGAACGCUGGCGGCGUGCUUAACACAUGCAAGUCGAACGAUGAAGCCCUUCGGGGUGGAUUAGUGGCGAACGGGUGAGUAACACGUGGGCAAUCUGCCCUUCACUCUGGGACAAGCCCUGGAAACGGGGUCUAAUACCGGAUAACACUCUGUCCCGCAUGGGACGGGGUUAAAAGCUCCGGCGGUGAAGGAUGAGCCCGCGGCCUAUCAGCUUGUUGGUGGGUGAUGGCCUACCAAGGCGACGACGGGUAGCCGGCCUGAGAGGGCGACCGGCCACACUGGGACUGAGACACGGCCCAG